GACGAACGCUGGCGGCGUGCCUAAUACAUGCAAGUAGGACGCACAGUUUAUACCGUAGCUUGCUACACCAUAGACUGUGAGUUGCGAACGGGUGAGUAACGCGUAGGUAACCUGCCUAUUAGAGGGGGAUAACUAUUGGAAACGAUAGCUAAUACCGCAUAACAGUAUGUAACACAUGUUAGAUGCUUGAAAGAUGCAAUUGCAUCGCUAGUAGAUGGACCUGCGUUGUAUUAGCUAGUAGGUAGGGUAAUGGCCUACCUAGGCGACGAUACAUAGCCGACCUGAGAGGGUGAUCGGCCACACUGGGACUGAGACACGGCCCAGACUCCUACGGGAGGCAGCAGUAGGGAAUCUUCGGCAAUGGGGGGAACCCUGACCGAGCAACGCCGCGUGAGUGAAGAAGGUUUUCGGAUCGUAAAGCUCUGUUGUUAAGGAAGAACGAGUGUGAGAAUGGAAAGUUCAUCACUGUGACGGUACUUAACCAGAAAGGACG
rnacentral:rRNA from 1 species